rnacentral:rRNA from 1 species
AGAGUUUGAUCCUGGCUCAGGAUGAACGCUAGCUACAGGCUUAACACAUGCAAGUCGAGGGGCAUCAGGAAGAAAGCUUGCUUUCUUUGCUGGCGACCGGCGCACGGGUGAGUAACACGUAUCCAACCUGCCCUUUACUCGGGGAUAGCCUUUCGAAAGAAAGAUUAAUACCCGAUGGCAUAAUGAUUCCGCAUGGUUUCAUUAUUAAAGGAUUCCGGUAAAGGAUGGGGAUGCGUUCCAUUAGGUUGUUGGUGAGGUAACGGCUCACCAAGCCUUCGAUGGAUAGGGGUUCUGAGAGGAAGGUCCCCCACAUUGGAACUGAGACACGGUCCAAACUCCUACGGGAGGCAGCAGUGAGGAAUAUUGGUCAAUGGGCGCUAGCCUGAACCAGCCAAGUAGCGUGAAGGAUGAAGGCUCUAUGGGUCGUAAACUUCUUUUAUAUAAGAAUAAAGUGCAGUAUGUAUACUGUUUUGUAUGUAUUAUAUGAAUAAGGAUCGGCUAACUCCGUGCCAGCAGCCGCGGUAAUACGGAGGAUCCGAGCGUUAUCCGGAUUUAUUGGGUUUAAAGGGAGCGUAGGUGGACUGGUAAGUCAGUUGUGAAAGUUUGCGGCUCAACCGUAAAAUUGCAGUUGAUACUGUCAGUCUUGAGUACAGUAGAGGUGGGCGGAAUUCGUGGUGUAGCGGUGAAAUGCUUAGAUAUCACGAAGAACUCCGAUUGCGAAGGCAGCUCACUGGACUGCAACUGACACUGAUGCUCGAAAGUGUGGGUAUCAAACAGGAUUAGAUACCCUGGUAGUCCACACAGUAAACGAUGAAUACUCGCUGUUUGCGAUAUACAGUAAGCGGCCAAGCGAAAGCAUUAAGUAUUCCACCUGGGGAGUACGCCGGCAACGGUGAAACUCAAAGGAAUUGACGGGGGCCCGCACAAGCGGAGGAACAUGUGGUUUAAUUCGAUGAUACGCGAGGAACCUUACCCGGGCUUAAAUUGCAGUGGAAUGAUGUGGAAACAUGUCAGUGAGCAAUCACCGCUGUGAAGGUGCUGCAUGGUUGUCGUCAGCUCGUGCCGUGAGGUGUCGGCUUAAGUGCCAUAACGAGCGCAACCCUUAUCUUCAGUUACUAACAGGUCAUGCUGAGGACUCUGGAGAGACUGCCGUCGUAAGAUGUGAGGAAGGUGGGGAUGACGUCAAAUCAGCACGGCCCUUACGUCCGGGGCUACACACGUGUUACAAUGGGGGGUACAGAAGGCAGCUAGCGGGUGACCGUAUGCUAAUCCCAAAAUCCUCUCUCAGUUCGGAUCGAAGUCUGCAACCCGACUUCGUGAAGCUGGAUUCGCUAGUAAUCGCGCAUCAGCCACGGCGCGGUGAAUACGUUCCCGGGCCUUGUACACACCGCCCGUCAAGCCAUGGGAGCCGGGGGUACCUGAAGUACGUAACCGCAAGGAUCGUCCUAGGGUAAAACUGGUGACUGGGGCUAAGUCGUAACAAGGUAACC